GGAGUGUGGAAAGAGCUUCAGUCAGAGGAGCAACCUUUAUAGACAUCAAAGGAUGCAUUGUGGAGAGAAAGGGAUGAAAUGCCUGGAGAGUGGAGAGCACUGUUCCGUCUAAGGAAACACGAAGUUUAUUGCUAUAGAAAUGUCCAGUAAGCAUCAUUGUGCAAAAGGAAACAAUCAGAACGGAGGUUGGUGACUAUGGGCCUUUUAUGACUUGGGCACUUCAAAGCCAGCAUGGUUGGCUCAGGAAUUCUGUGUCAUGGCUGCCUCCGAUCAACCCCCAGGGAAGAAAAAACUUGGCUCCAUAGAUUCAAAGAAAAGGGACUUUUACUGUGAAAAAACAAAGGAAAAGGACAAAUUGAAACUAACCCCAGUAGCCAGGCAACCACAGUCCAAUCAUUGGCCAGGAAUAUGUUUUGGGAAUGUCUCUGGUUCAGGUGCUCCGUGCCGCCCUCUUGCAUGCCAUUUCACGGACGGUUGGCCUUGAAGCUGUUAAACAACCCAAGCUGCCCUCCCUGAUUCCAAGCCUCCCUAUGGCUUCUCAGCAAUUCCACUCUCACACCACCUGCACAAUUCCCUUCCCAAAUGCCCAUCGCUCCCUCCCUCCCUCCCUGUUUCCAAGGCAGCCGGCAGCAAGCUGGAAGGAAAGCAAUGUUGCUGACUAGGCUGACAUUCUGGGAGUUGAAGUCCACAAGUCAUACAAGGGCAACAGUUUCCCUGUUGCCCCCUGUUUUAGGGGGCAACGCAACCUAUGUCAGCACAACUGGCUGAUUAUGGUGGAUCCUGAAGAAGCUAAGAAGGGUCAGGUUUGGUUGGCAAUGAGAUGGGAGACCACUAUGAAGCCCCAGGCCGCAGGCUGGACUGGGACCCAGAAACCCUUCCCUUUUAAGGGGAGGGGUCUCUGCCAUCUGCUUUGGAGCAGACCCUGCCCAUACCAGCCAGGGCUUCCUUUGCUGCAUUUCCCAGCAGCUGCUCUCGGAGAGGCAGAAGGAAGCUUGGCGAGAGAAAAGCAACAGCUUCAAGAGGCCCUUCAGCAGGUGGUCCUCCAUCUCUCAGGGGGUCUCCCUGGGCACUUUAGCCCUUCAUCUGCUCUCCAGCGUCAAGACGGAGAGAAGCUCCGAGAGGCACAUUCGGAGCCCUGGGCUGUUCGGUCUGCUGAUGCAUGGCUUGAACGAGAGGUAGGGAAGUAGGACAGGCUCCAGUGGAGAUGAAGAGGAGGUCACUAAACAAUCUGUUGUAAGUCGAGGACUGAAUAUUCCACACCAUCUUAAGUUGUGAGUGAAGGGGGGGAGCAGAGAUGUGGCCUGGAGUGGCAGAAAGAGUGGUGGGGGGCAACUGGAGGCCCCCUUGGGUGAAGCCGGCUGGUGGCCUGAAAAACCUUGGCCGUCUCCAUCUGACCUCCCUGCCAAGUGCGGAAACUCUCCUGAAAUGGGAGGGUGGAGUUUGGGAGGUGGAGGCGUAGCCGGUGAUGACAUUUCUGCGUUGAUGUCCUCCUCCCAGGAGUCCCGAAGGGCUCAGAUACGAUCAGGGGCCAAGGGAGGCGGGAAGCAGAUCGCUGGAAAGCCUGUUGAUCUUGGACGGGUCCAUGCCUGUCCCUUCAUCCUUUGGGUCAGCAGGGUUGGGCUCCGCUUGGAGACCCCAGCUUUCGCCUGCCGUGAAGGAGCCCUCCUCAGUCUCUGGCCUUCUGGGCCUCCAGCCACGGCCUGUCAGGCUUCCAAGUAGCACCCAAAAGUAAAUCGGAGUCCGAGGCAAAGGAUUCCUCAAAGUUCCAAUUGAUGAAGAGAGCCAUG